GAUCCAGCAUGGCGUAGUGGUUUGAGCAUUGGACUAGGACUCUGGAGACAAGGGUUCGAUUCCCCACUUGACCA